UAAAACUCCCUCUCAAAACAAACAAACAAACCAAAAAAACAAAUAGCAACAGCAACCACAAUCAUCAUCACCAUCAAGGCUGGAACAAGGAUGAGGCAGGCAGGCUCUGAUAGCAACAGGAGGAAGCAGACCAAGGAGGGAGAGAAAGGAAGGCAGAGAAGGGGAAAAAAAAACACAAAUGAUAAUAAUAGAUGCUGACAUUUACGGAGCACUUACUAUGUGCUGGGAACCAUGCUGACGGCACACCGAAUCCACUGAACAGGUGGAUCUCUUUGGGUUUUGGAAUAACAAAAAAGGGACUGUACAUGGAUAUUUCCAAGCUGGAACCGAGGCACUUUCUAGACGAAGGCAGCCUUAUCCCCAGGAGAUGAUUGAAAAUGUAAGAACUAUUCUGAGCCUGCAGGCCAUAGCCAAAGAGGCUGGCUGCAUGAACAUGGCCCAAUCAAAGGAUGCAACAGUCAAAUGCUUGUGUACAUCAUGUUACCUGUCCAUUUCCAUCAGAGACAUCAUGGACACAGCUGAAAUACUAGGCCUGGCCUUUUGUAAGUUCAUUAGAGCAUCACAAACAUAACUGCAGCUAUUCUCACUGUUUGUGACUCUGUGAUUCAAAUGUUUUCACAAACCUUCCCUGGCACUGCGUAUUAGAUGGAUUGAAAGAUGCUGAAACGUA
rnacentral:lncRNA from 1 species